UGGGGAAUAUUGCACAAUGGGCGAAAGCCUGAUGCAGCGACGCCGCGUGAGGGAUGACGGCCUUCGGGUUGUAAACCUCUUUCAGCAGGGAAGAAGCGAAAGUGACGGUACCUGCAGAAGAAGCGCCGGCUAACUACGUGCCAGCAGCCGCGGUAAUACGUAGGGCGCAAGCGUUGUCCGGAAUUAUUGGGCGUAAAGAGCUCGUAGGCGGUUAGUCGCGUCUGCUGUGAAAACUCGAGGCUCAACCUCGGGCUUGCAGUGGGUACGGGCUGACUAGAGUGCGGUAGGGGUGACUGGAAUUCCUGGUGUAGCGGUGGAAUGCGCAGAUAUCAGGAGGAACACCGAUGGCGAAGGCAGGUCACUGGGCCGCAACUGACGCUGAGGAGCGAAGCAUGGGGAGCGAACAGGAUUAGAUA
rnacentral:rRNA from 1 species